UUGGUGGUAUGUCGGUGUUUUGUCGACUUUCUUGAUCAGUUUUCCACAGUUAGAAAAUUUGAAGUCUAGAUACGGAAGAGGAAAGACAGCACAUACACAGACAACGCUGGAGGUUUUCGAAUAUCAGCAAAGUUGCAUACCUCUAUUCAUGCUAGCAAAACAAAAUCCCCAGGAGUCUCCUAAGUUCGACAAACGCGUAACCUGACCGAAUCCUCCCCAGCUAAAACUUGGGAAUACAUAAUGAUCUUCGCUGAGAGAUAUUCGUUAACUUUCUGCUGACACGUUCUUCGCAAUUUUAAUAUUUCUGUUUUGUUUUUUCUGUAUUGACUAUUUCUCUUUAGACUAUCAACGAUAGACCUGUAAUUCCUGAUGGUGUUGGCAAAGGUCUGUCUGGUAUCACUACAUCUUCGGCUAUUGCCAAAAUAUGUUUUUUGAAAGGAAAUAUGUGGUGAUACUUUCUGCCCUUCAUAUGCUGCAUGCCGUCGCGGCAGUUCCAACGGAGAAAGAUGCUUUUAUAAGCCUGGAUUUACACAAGGAAACUGCGAAGCUAUAGGCAUGAAAAACACUACUGCCGUCAAAUCUUGCAUGGAGGUUAAGCACCUAAUGCCGAGUUAUCCGACAGAAGUUUGCUAGAUUGACU